GAUGAACGCUGGCGGCGUACCUAAUACAUGCAAGUCGAGCGAACAGACGAGGAGCUUGCUCCUCUGACGUUAGCGGCGGACGGGUGAGUAACACGUGGAUAACCUACCUAUAAGACUGGGAUAACUUCGGGAAACCGGAGCUAAUACCGGAUAAUAUAUUGAACCGCAUGGUUCAAUAGUGAAAGACGGCUUUGCUGUCACUUAUAGAUGGAUCCGCGCCGCAUUAGCUAGUUGGUAAGGUAACGGCUUACCAAGGCAACGAUGCGUAGCCGACCUGAGAGGGUGAUCGGCCACACUGGAACUGAGACACGGUCCAGACUCCUACGGGAGGCAGCAGUAGGGAAUCUUCCGCAAUGGGCGAAAGCCUGACGGAGCAACGCCGCGUGAGUGAUGAAGGUCUUCGGAUCGUAAAACUCUGUUAUUAGGGAAGAACAAAUGUGUAAGUAACUAUGCACGUCUUGACGGUACCUAAUCAGAAAGCCACGGCUAACUACGUG
rnacentral:rRNA from 1 species